GCGCUCAUGAGCACGCGUUCACGUUUGGCAGCUCCACGUCGACAUUCUUCCAGCUGCAUAUAGUGAACUGCACAGUACUGGGGGAAGAAAAGGUAAAAGCGACGUCGGCCACCUUACGAUUAGAGCGCUGCAACUCCCACAGACGGACAUCAACCGCAGUGAAAACAGGCGUUUGCACUGUGGAUCCAGACGUGGACUGCAAUGUCCUCUGCUCGAUUUCUGCUUUUGCAUUUUAUGAUCAAGACUAUUUCCCCCCUCGUGUUGGAUUGCAGCUGGUCCCUUGCGUCUACCUAUAUCAGGUUGAAGGAGCACCCAGUCAUGAGGAGGAUAAGGUUCCACACAAGGGCAAACCUAUGAGGUGGCACUGUGGCUUUCCAAAUAAAGUUCUGUGAUACACUCAGACUCUAAUUGCCCGUAGUCAGUGCAUUACAGAACUUUGUUUUGGGAGUUAAUGCUUUAACCAGUGGGAAAUAAAUCAUCAAACAUCUGGACGUUUUAGUUUAUAGCACUACGCAGUACUUCUGUUGAUAAGUGACCGUUUCCUCUCAAAUAAAGUUGCAAUUUCAAG